CCUACGGGAGACAGCAGUGAGGAAUAUUGGUCAAUGGACGAGAGUCUGAACCAGCCAAGUAGCGUGAAGGAUGACUGCCCUAUGGGUUGUAAACUUCUUUUAUAUGGGAAUAAAACGUUCCACGUGUGGGAUUUUGUAUGUACCAUAUGAAUAAGGAUCGGCUAACUCCGUGCCAGCAGCCGCGGUAAUACGGAGGAUCCGAGCGUUAUCCGGAUUUAUUGGGUUUAAAGGGAGCGUAGGUGGAUUGUUAAGUCGGUUGUGAAAGUUUGCGGCUCAACCGUAAAAUUGCAGUUGAAACUGGCAGUCUUGAGUACAGUAGAGGUGGGCGGAAUUCGUGGUGUAGCGGUGAAAUGCUUAGAUAUCACGAAGAACUCCGAUUGCGAAGGCAGUUCACUGGACUGCAACUGACACUGAGGCUCGAAAGUGUGGGUAUCAAACAGGAUUAGAUACCCGUGUAGUC
rnacentral:rRNA from 1 species